rnacentral:rRNA from 1 species
CACGUAGGGGACGAGCGUUGUCCGGAAUCAUUGGGCGUAAAGCGCGCGUAGGCGGCCUGGAAAGUCGGUUGUGAAAGCCCGGGGCUCAACCCCGGGACUGCAUCCGAUACUUCCAGGCUGGAGGUAGGUAGGGGAGAUCGGAAUUCCUGGUGUAGCGGUGAAAUGCGCAGAUAUCAGGAGGAACACCGGUGGCGAAGGCGGAUCUCUGGGCCUUACCUGACGCUGAGGCGCGAAAGCUAGGGGAGCGAACAGG